AGUCACUGACAUUAGAUACCCGCGUAGUCCAGGGUGUAAACGCUGCAGACUUGGUGUUGGGAACCCUUCGGGGGUGCUCAGUGCCGGAGAGAAGUUGUUAAGUCUGCUACUUGGGGAGUACGUCCGCAAGGAUGAAAACUUUAAGGAAUUGGGCGGGGGAGCACCGCAACGGGAGGAGCGUGCGGUUUAAUUGGAUUCAACGACCGAAAAACUCACCAGCAGCGACUGUUACAUGAAAGUCAGGUUGAUGACCUUACUAGAUUUUCAG
rnacentral:rRNA from 1 species